UCAGCAUGUCUUCCUGAUCUGAAAGAUGGGAGGGAGCACAUGAUCAUUUCAUGGAUAGAUGUGUAGAAUUUGAAAGUUCAGUCAUUGCCUUGAUACCUUUUUGUUGUAUAACAACAAAAGCUAUUUCAGAUUUUCGGGUGGCACUGACCGCAGUUCGGCUUUUUGCGUCAAGGGAGUGCUGUUUUCUUCCAGCAGUUGCAUGGGAUGCUCUAUAGAGGUCAUCAGGAUGGACGUGUCCCUCUGACCAAACCUGGGGGGAAAACACGUCACAUAAAUAUGGUAUGACGUGUCCACCCACUGUGCAAAACUGUUUGAAUCAAAGUUGUUUCCACAUUUCAACUCUCAAUCUAUGUGUUGAAGUUGAAUCAACUGAUUGAAUUUGCAAAAAGUCAUCAAGAUGGGUAGAGUGGGGCAACUGAUACAGACAUCACCAGACAGCAGAAAACAAGCAGUACAGCUCGAUCCAUCAUCAUGACUACUUCUGGAAAACAAGAAGAAAUGGAAGAGUUAAAAUUACAUUAGAAAAUACGCUGAAGCCAGUUGGCCCCUGAUCUGAUAUCACUGCAGUAGACAUUGAGUUCUCUUGGAGAGGAAGCCUUUCUAUAUUGUUCUGAUGAUUACUUUUACAAAGAUAAAGUAUGGAUUUUUCAGUGUAACUAAAUUUAAGUAAAUAUUUGUUAUAAUGUAAAAUGUCUUUAUCCACUACAUGGGUAACUUUACUCAGGUAAUAUAUAUUUUUGUUUGAUGUUCCAACCAAUAAAUAAUUAAAGCACAAA